CCAGCGGCGGUGCCGUGAUGGCGA
rnacentral:miRNA from 1 species